CUGAACUGAACUGAGCUGAGCUGAACUGAACUGAACGGAACUGAACGGAACUGAACGGAACUGAAUGGAACUGAACUGAACUGAACUGAACUGAACUGAACUGAACGGAACUGAAUGGAACUGAGCUGAACUGAACUGAACGGAAUGGAACUGAACGGAACUGAGCUGAACGGAACUGAAUGGAACGGAUCGGAACUGAACGGAAUGGAAUUGAACUGAACUGAACUGAACUGAACUGAACUGAAUUGAGCUGAACUGAACGGAACUGAACUGAACUGAACUGAGCUGAGCUGAACUGAACUGAAC
rnacentral:lncRNA from 1 species